rnacentral:rRNA from 1 species
UACGUAGGGUGCAAGCGUUGCCCGGAUUUAUUGGGCGUAAAGAGCUCGUAGGCGGUUUGUCGCGUCGACUGUGAAAACCUACAGCUUAACUGUGGGCUUGCAGUCGAUACGGGCAGACUUGAGUUCGGUAGGGGAGACUGGAAUUCCUGGUGUAGCGGUGAAAUGCGCAGAUAUCAGGAGGAACACCGGUGGCGAAGGCGGGUCUCUGGGCCGAUACUGACGCUGAGGAGCGAAAGCGUGGGGAGCGAACAGG